rnacentral:rRNA from 1 species
AUGCCCAGCGACGGCUACACGGUCACAGUGCCAAGGACGAAGGUGCAUCGGGACGGGGACUGCCACCGGGCGGUGCACGUGUGGAUCUACUGCGAGAGCACCAGGGAGCUGUUGCUGCAGCGCCACGCCGACUACAAGGACUCACGGACCGGCCAGUGGGACAUCUCCAGCGCCGGCCACAUAUCCGUCGGGGACUCCUCCCUCUCCUUCGCACGGUGA